ensembl:lncRNA
CUCGCAAUUAGCCCCCUCUCUGCGCAUGCUCGAAGUAAGCCCGCUGCUUCCUCUUCUAGAGGCGCCGCAACUCCCGAGUCUUUUGGCCCGCCCGGCCGCCGUAAUCGGCUUCCUGAAAGAUGGCGGCGCCCAGCAGGCGGCGGAAGAGCGCUGCGGCCGCCGUCGAUGGUCCUUUGUUGCCAGCAUGUCGAAGCCCGAGCCUAACCCGCUGAACGGGCGGAGCCUGCCGGAGCUGCGGGAGAUGCUUCUGCGGCAGGAAAGGCUGCUGGGCGACCGGGCGGUGGUCUCCCGGUUGCCCGACGGCGGUGAGCGCGUGCGCGAGUGCGCGGCCAGGCUGCGGGCGGCGGUGGCGGAGCGCGAGCAGCGGCGGCGGCGGAGCGGCGGUGGCCCGGAGGCGGCUCCCCCGGCGCUGGCGCUGGCCGGCCUCUCUUUGGCGGCGAAGGAGGGAGGCCGGUGCGGGGCCGACGCGUGAGUAUGGUGGAGUCGGGUCGGGUCCCGCGGGCUCUUUCUCGGCCCCCGCUAAGCAGCUCCCUCCCGCAGGCGGCCCGGCGGAGCCCCCCGGAGGGAGAAGCGGCGCCCGGAGGACGCGUCGGCCGCCCGGCUGCCCCCUCUGCGCCACGCGCCCGCGCGAUUGCUGCCCCUGGCCGAGUCGGUGGCCAUCCAGCUCCGUCAGGAGGAGGCCCGGCAGGUGCGGAGGGGGAGCGGGCCCCGGGGGGGGGCGGGGGGGGGGGGGCGCGGCUGGGAAGCGAGGCUCCAACUCACCCCGGGUCUCUCCCCCCGCAGUGGCUUCUGUCUCUCGGGCGCUUUGAGUGCCCGGCAGAACUGGGGGAAAGGCGGGCGGGGCGUGGGGUCCGGUGAGUGACCGGACCCUAUAAAAUAAUUGCGCCGUUUGGUUAGUUAAAUACAGGAGAGACAAGUGCACCUCAAGUCCGUUCCCAGCAUCGCUGCCGCCUUUCCCCCAAAUGCUUCAAGCGAUUGGAACAUUUAAACUUCUUCCUCUGGACGCCUUCACUUUAAACAUGACUCUGUAAAGGCUUUGAUGAAACGCCUGGCUUUAUUUACUCUGCGAUGUACCUGUUUUAUGAUGUGUGCUUGAACAAAAGUCUCAGUCCUGAGCUUGGGGAGUUUCUCUCUCCACUUCUCCAUCCAAAUAAGCUUCCUUUGUCAUUGCUGCUUUCUAGCUCACUCUCAUUCUGAUGCUCUUUUGAUAUCCAAAUGCUUUCCAUGACUCUUUGUUAUCUGGCAAAAAAAAAAAUCUUGCCGUUUAUUUUGAAUCUUCCUUCCCCCCCUCUGCAAUGUUUUCCUGAAAGGACUCUAGUGAGCUGCAUACUUUAAGUGUGCUUGCUUUGCAGUAAUUUAAUUUAGCUUUUUGUUUGACACUAAUUCAUUUGUCUGAUGCAAGGUUUUCUUUCUUGUUGUAGGAGAUGCAAGCUAAGGUGGCUGCCCAAAAGCUAGCUGAAAGGCUUGGGAUUAAGAUGGUUCACUAUGAGCCAGAAGGGCAGGUGAUGACCGGCUACAGAGAAGUCAGGGAUGAAGAGGAGGACAGCUCAGCUGAAGAUUAAUUCCGAAGAGAACUGCCUGGCAGGCGAGAGACGGGCCCUGCUGAAGAGGUUCUCCAUGCUUAGAGCCCCUCGGGAGUGUGCUUUGCCUGGGGGCAGCAUCACUAUUGCCUAAAGUUGCCCAGUGAUGGGCAGCUUGGCUGUGGUUUGGGCUCAGCACAGCUCGGGAGCCUGACAGUCGCUCAUCACAAGCAUCGGGAGAGGAGAGCAACACCUGACCAAACAGCUUUCCAGGUGCUGGGAUUGAAGAUAAGCUAUAGAGGAGCAGCAGAAAUUUUGUAGCUGCCUUAGAGUCUUCUCGAUUGAGGGUUGCUCCAAAACAAACACAGUGCAAGGCUGCAAUAUGUUUUUAUUAGAAUUGUUUCUAUAUUCUUUUUAAUUUACAUUAAAAUUUGGGACCUUUGUGCACUAUGUGGAUCUUCUUGUUAUCUCCAGGAGGAAAAAGAUAUCCUGCAUUAGGGGGGUUCUCUCUACUGCUCGGUGAAAGGAACACUGUGUCCCGCCUGUCCUCCCCAAAUGGCUGGCCCUGAGGGAAGAUUUGGGACCUCGAAGCCCUAAGUCCUCUAGGUCAGAGGUCGCCAACCUUUUGGACCUCAGGGACCACCAAACUCAUAAUUUUAAAUCCCACGGACCACUCAUAUGAAUGUUGGCUGACGGUGGCUUGCUAACAUUGGUGGGAAAGUCGGUCCCAUAUUCCAGAGCUGCCGUAGUCACAGGGCUGGCCCUUUGGUCAUCCCAGAG